UACAGAGGUCCCAAGCGUUGUUCGGAUUCACUGGGCGUAAAGGGUGCGUAGGUGGCCAGGUAAGUUUGAUGUGAAAGCUCGGAGCUUAACUCCGAAAUGGCAUUGAAUACUACCUGGCUUGAGGGUCGGAGGGGAGACUGGAAUUCUCGGUGUAGCAGUGAAAUGCGUAGAUAUCGAGAGGAACACCAGUGGCGAAGGCGAGUCUCUGGACGACACCUGACACUGAGGCACGAAAGCUAGGGGAGCAAACAGG
rnacentral:rRNA from 1 species